AGUGAACGCUGGCGGCAUGCCUUACACAUGCAAGUCGAACGGUAACGCGGGGCAACCUGGCGACGAGUGGCGAACGGGUGAGUAAUACAUCGGAACGUGCCCAGUAGUGGGGGAUAGCCCGGCGAAAGCCGGAUUAAUACCGCAUGAGACCUGAGGGUGAAAGCGGGGAUCGCAAGAUCUCGCGCUAUUGGAGCGGCCGAUAUCAGAUUAGCUAGUUGGUGGGUAAAGGCCUACCAAGGCAACGAUCUGUAGUUGGUCUGAGAGGACGACCAGCCACACUGGGACUGAGACACGGCCCAGACUCCUACGGGAGGCAGCAGUGGGGAAUUUUGGACAAUGGGGGCAACCCUGAUCCAGCCAUUCCGCGUGGGGGAUGAAGGUCUUCGGAUUGUAAACCCCUUUCGGGAGGAAGAUGGAACGAGCAAUCGUUCGACGGUACCUCCAGAAGCAGCCACGGCCAA
rnacentral:rRNA from 1 species